CACAAUAUGAAAGCGGGUUGGGACCUCACCUCGGUGAGGGCUCCAGCUUGUCUGAAUUAUUCACCCAUGUCUUUUGCGCACUUCUUGUUUCCUGGGCGGGUUCGCCCGCCACCAGGACCAAACCAUAAACCUUUUUGUAAUUGCAAUCAGCGUCAGUAAACAAUGUAAUUAUUA
rnacentral:misc_RNA from 3 species